CGAUCAUCCAACCAAUUUUUUUCCCUUCAUUGACUUGGAAAUGUUUGAUCAUUUACAUUUUAAUUUCUUUUUCUCCACAAUCAGGAAGAACAGUUAAAAAUUUGAUAUUUCAACAUCUAGUAGUAAAAAUUAAUUUGAAAGUAAAAGUAAAUUAAGAAUCGAUAAUAAAUAAAUAAAUAAAAACCUUAUCUUCUCUCCCGUGCUUUUUCUUCCACUCUUCGUCUUCUCCAAUUGAAUCUCCAGUGACCGGCGUGUGGUGGCUCCUUUAGCACCGUCGCCAAUCUAGUUUGCUUUCUUUAGCUUUCUCAUUGUUUAUGUUGUGUUUUGUUUAAGCUUUGGAUGUGGAUCGAACAAGAGGAUUCAGAUCUAAGAGUUCAUCUCUGGUCAUACUUGUCGAGGUGGUCAUGGGCUGUCUGGUUGGUAUCCGUCGUCGGUGAAUCGUACUGGAUUCGCGCUUCUGAUAUUUCACCGUUCAAUUUAGGUAGAAGUGAAGGAUUCAUGUUUCGUCGUGGCCUUGCGGUGGUCUUGGGCUAGAUGGUUGAGUCUGGAGCCGGUGAAGUGCGUCGAUCUCCUCUACCCAUGAGUUUCUCCUGUUUGCGGUCCCUUCCUCUUAUCUAGUUUCUCUUGGUUUUAGUUUGCCGUAUGGUGUAGUUGAUGGUUUGAACUCUUUCUAUCUUUGAUUAGAGUAGAGAUAAUUAUCUCUAGUCUCUAUUCAGCAAUGGCGUGAUGGCACGUUUGUGAGCAGAAUAGGAUUAGCAGAAGUUGUGUUUUGUCACCUAUCCAUUUCCAGUCCUGAAGGAGUCCUCGCUGCAUCUUUCAAUAAGAGUUCUUCCUAUUCAUGGUGUGUUCGCUGAUCUCAUAAGUCCUCGGUGGCUUCUUCUUGGUUGUUAGAAGAAAUAUAAUGAGGUUGAGGUUUUGGUUUUGGUUCAAUCGGAUGAAGAUGCGGUUGUGUUGGAAGGUUUUGCCCAGGUGUUUCGGUUCUUUGUGGUUCUUGUUAGUGUGGUCGGUGUUGUGCUAUUCUGUGUGUUCUGGCUCUUUAUCGUGGACGGAAGGGUUCAGGUGAGUUUUUGUUUUGGAUUAUACGUCUUGUUGCUUGCUCUCUUGGCUGGUGGUGUAGCAUAGCAAGACAUCCGGCUGAUUUAGGCUCUGGACUAUGUUAUCUGUUGUCGGUUAUUGCUUUGUUUGGGUUGUAGCUUCCCUCUGAUGGGCUUUGUUUCUAGGGAUUUUAACAUGUUCUGCUGACUUAUGUAUUUUAUCUGGCAUUUGGUGCUUAAUAUAAUUCAGUCGACGGAGAAAAAAAAAUGUAAAAGUAGAUUAAUAUGUUGACAAAAAAAUCAAAAUGUAAAUUUGUCAUUCGAUUCCUAAUAAAAAUAAAACGAAGGGACGCGAAUAGAACUAUGCUUUGCGCUUUGUUAAAAAGAAUUGGG
rnacentral:lncRNA from 1 species